UCUACGUGAACUAGUCUUUCACUACUUCCUCCCUUCAUUUUCAUUCAUUUUUCUUUUUUUUUACUACUUCUUUGUCUCGUCUCCGGCGGGGCCAGGAAAUAACCCGAACUCUCGGUUCCCCGAUGUCAUUACGUAAGUCUACUAGAGGAUGUUGUCUAGUUAAACCUUCCCAUCCCCGAUGUUAUUAUGUAAGUCUACUAGAGGAUUUUGUCUAGUUAAACCUUUCCAUUACAUCUUGAGGAAUAAAAUAACAAUUAAAAAAGGGGUGCAACAAGAGGAUGGACGAACAUGUCAGCCAUAAUAGUAUUACUCUCAGCGAUGUACAUUUCACUUCAGAGUGUGAGGGGAUUCGAUGAAUUAGUGCUGUUAUGAUAACACCCCUCUGCUUCUCGCGCUCAUAUCUACAUGAACUAGUCUUUAACUACUUCCUCCCUUCAUUUGCAUUCAUUUUUCAUUUUUUACUACUUCUUUGUCUCGUCUCCGGCGGGGCCAGGAAAUAACCCGCACUCUCGGUUCCCCAUUGUCAUUAGGUAAGUCGGUACCCCGAUGUCAUUACGUAAGGCUACUAGAGGAUGUUAUCUAGUUCAACCUUUCCAUUACACCUAGAGGAAUAAAAUACCAAUAAAAA
rnacentral:lncRNA from 1 species